CCUCUUUCAAUUUUCUAAAAAAAGCACUAAGAAUUAAAUGUCCCUCGGGACUAUGGUCAUAAACGCGCUCGUAAUACACGGAUCGGACCCGGGGGCGGUACCCGGCAGCUCCACCAUAACCUCCCUCAUUUGGGGACAGAUGGGGCUGAAAUAGGAUCGACGGACGUCUAAAGGGGUAAGCUUUGGCUCGGUGAGAUACCACCGUUAUCGGUUCAAUAUAGCUAGUUGCAAAUGACAACAAAGCUCCAAUGGCUCUAGCUGCGUAAGCAGUUCGAAACAUUGAAAACUUAAGUCCUGUUGCCUAGCAGCGGCAGGCGGGGUUCGGAGGUACCUGGCAACAGAAACCUCCACU
rnacentral:tmRNA from 1 species